UCGAAUGCUUGGUUCUCAGAGGAGCUUGAUUCAACAAGGCAGGAGAGGUUGAAAUGGGUCCGGGAGAAUUAUAUGGUAUACAAUUACUGCAAAGAUGUCAAUAGAUUUCCCCAAGGUCUACCUACAGAAUGCAGCAUGUCCUAGAAAGAAGACGUCCUUGCAUUACCUCCGGAAUGCAGCAUGUCCUUGCAUUACUGCAAAGAUGUCAAUAGAUUUCCCCAAGGUCUACCUCCGGAAUGCAGUAUGUCCUAGAAAGAAGACGUCCUUGCAUUACCUGUCCAAGUUUUGCCACAUAAGAUAUUCAAUUAGUUUUUGUAAUUUAGGCAAUUAAUCAAUUGGUGCAAUUCUUUAAUUCUUUUCAUCAAUCAAUUGUUUUUAAUGUAAUAUGAAUCCGUAGUAUUUCGAUGAAAGUAAAAAGUAUUCCUGGCUUUCUCCUAAGCUCUAGAUUAGAAGAAAAUUUAGAAAGGAAAAACAAAGGUUUAAAACCAGUAAUUAAUGCUAGAAAAUAAAGUAAAGAAGAUUGUCAAAUUUAUAAAAACAAUACAGAAUUAACCAAUCUCAAAUACUCUACUUCAAUCCCUUUUUUAUAAAAAAAUUUAGAAACUAAAAGUUGAUAGAUUUACUUCAUUAACAACUUUUAUUACCAAUAAUAAACCAAAAUCAAACCUAAAUGUUUUUUUUUUUAUUUAAACCAGGUGUCUUUUGAACUAAAAGAUCUAUUCAAAUUUUAAAAAACUGUUAUGAAAAAACUAAUCAAUUCUUUCCAUUCAAGGGAUUGACAAAACAAUGGGCAAGAAAAAAUAAUUAUUUAUGGAUCAAAUUUAAUUUUAAAUUUUAGGUGAUAAAAAAUAAUCUUUCAUAAUUCAAAAUAUUAUUUCACAAUAAACAUAAACACAAGUCUAGGCUAAAGCCAAAACGCGGUGGGUGGGUGAGGUUUGAGCCCAAAACUCACUUUACUUAUAACAUUUUUCAUAUAACAUUUUGGAUACUUUUUUGUUUAAUUUUAACUUUUCACUUUAUAAACAUUAAAAAAGUUUUGUUUUUUUUUUUCUAUAUGGGAUAGAAUUAUUUUAAAGAGUUUUGGAUUUCACCAAAAUAUAUCAAUCAAUAGUUCUUUAAAAUCAAUUUUUCAUUCAUUCAUAAUUUAUUUGAUUCAUGUUAAUGUUUCAAAUUAAAAAACUUAUGUUAGAGAUUAAAUUCCAACAAAACUUUAACCCAAAAAGUUAGUUGACCUCACUCAAAUAUGAUGCACAAACCAUAUUCUUAAAUAAAAAUUUCCCAAAAAACCAAUAAAAUAAGUAAAAAAUAAAUUAUUCUAUAUUGAUACCAAAACCUCAUUUUCUAACAAUUACAAUUAAAAAUAAAUUAAAAAUAAAAAUACAAAAAAAACACUAUAAAUUGUAAUAAUAUUCUACAAUGUUUUUUUUUAUCCUUUGAAUUUUUUUUCUUCUGUCCUUUUAUGUUAUUUUUAUUUGGGGUUAAGUUUCGUUGUUUAUUCCAGAUAUGUAUGUGAGCAAUAUCAAGAAAAAACAUCAUUAUGUUGAUACUUGGUUUGGAAUAAUAAAAUGUUGAACAUUGCUAGGAUGAAUUUAUUGAGGAUAAAUAGCUUAAUGAUUUUAUCAAUGAUCUAGAAUUGGACUAUAUAUGGAUUAAUCAUAUACUAAUGUGUCCUCUCUCUUUUUUUAAUUGAUUAGGUCCCUUACUUGAGAAAUAUUCUUGAUGCCGUUCAUUCAUCAUGAUUCCAUCAUUUUUUUUUCAUUAAUGAGGACACCUGUAAUAAUAAUAGAAUGUUAUGCUCAAAAUCUUUUAAAAGAAAAUAAAAACAAACUGAUAAAUUCAAGAAUAAAUCAAAAUCAGAAUGCUAAGAGUUCUCAAUGAAUUUUAAGACAAAAUAUUUGAUUGAAAAUGGAAUGGGAAGAUAGAUAAUCCUUUAGAUAAAGUGGAGUGUUUUAAAUAUUAAUUUGUCAUAAAAGAGGAAAAUAUUAAUACUUAAGUCGCCUCUAUCUAUUUAUUUUAUUUCCAUUUUCCUUUUCUGUUUACUUUUAAUAAAGGGUAACUUCUAUUUUCUUUUCUAUCUAUAUUCUUAACCCCUUUUUCUUCUUUUCUUUUAUAAAUGGUGGGUUUUAUAUUUUCAAAUUAUUUAUUUUUAAUUUUUUUCAUUAAAAUAAAUAUUAACAAAUAUAAGUUCUGAAAUUUUAUUUUAUUUUUCAUGCUAGAUCAAUAUUUCUUUAUUUUUCAAUUUUUAUGAAUCUCAAAAAUCUUAAUUUUCAAUUUUUUCUUUGUUUUUUAUUUAUUUUUUCAAUUUUGUUUAUUUUUCAAGAAUUAUAUAUAUAUAUAUAUAUGUGAAAUAUGUCCACAUGGUUGGUGUCAAAAACCUCUAAAAUUUAAUUAUGGUUUUACUAUCACAAAAAAAAUAAUUUGUAGUAUGAUUGUGAAAAUCAGAUCGAAUACAAAAAAAAAUUAUCAAGUCUUCUUAUAAGAUGUUGAAAUCAAAAGUAUGGGAGUAAUUGAAUGCAAAAUUAAAGAAACAAAAUUCUGAAGAUAAAAAUGAUAAACCAAUAUGUCAUUAACUCAGUUCAAGGGUCUAUAUAUUCAUUUUUAUAAAUUUAUUGAUCAUGGAGGUAAAAUAAAUAUUAUUUCAAUUCAAACAAUAAUUUUGAUAUCCCUUAAAGGUAAAGAGAAUCGAGGAGAUUAUCAGUAAAUUAAUUAGAAAAAGCUUUUUAAUCAAUUUCUUACCAUCAAAUAAAUUUAAUAUUGAAAAGCAAUUUUCAUUCACUCGGCAGUAGCUUUAGAAGUAAAGAUUGUAAAAUUUAUUCCAAGCAACUGUUUAAAGCUUGAAAUAUUUUACUUGGCUUAUUUCUCCGUAAUAAAUUAAAAUUAAAGUUGCAACAAUUAAAUUAAUUUAUUUGCUUCUUAUUCUUGUCCCAAACAACAAUUAUGAAUUGAAAGAAACUAGAAAACAUAUAUGCUAUCUCAACCAAUUCAAUUAGCAUGAAUAGAAAUCAGUAGCAUAAGUUUAAAACAAGGGUGAAUAAGUACUUGAAUGUAAAAGAAUUAUAAUGAUAACGUUAUUUCUCACAACCCGUAAUGGAGAUGGAUUUUAUUCCUCUUAAACCGACUCAAGAAUUAUUUACUCAUUCUCAAGGAAUUUCCAGCAACCAAGAAUAAUCCUUCUUGAACAAUCUCCCAUGUAUUUGUAUUUCAAUAGGUAGCCUUCAUGAUAAGAUAUCAGGUCUAAAGAAUGGGAGAUUAAAAGCUAUAAAGAAAUUCUCUCUAAUCUUAUCAGAUUUCUUCUUAAUGAUAAGAUUUUCAACUAUCAGUUUCCCACUAGAUUAAGAUAUAAAACUCGUCUUCCAGCUUGUAUCAAGAUUUUUGUAUUUAAAAAGAUUCUUUCUGACCUAGAGUCCUUCAUAAAACCUCAUAAUUUUAAUAUCUAAAGUUCAAGAUAUUCACGUUUGGAAGUUUAGUGCUUGAACAAAUAAUCAUACUGCAAGUAGAAUUCAAGCUUGAUUUUGCAAGUCUAUCUAGAGGUCCAAACAAACUCGAAUUUAUGUACAUAAUACUUUUCUGAAAAGCUUGAUAUGUGUACUUCAACUUAGAUGAUCCCCUAUUUCAAUUUUGAAACUCGAACUUAGUGAAAAACUUGUCACAAGAAGUAAAGGUUCGAAAUAUAAAAUACAUAAUUUUUUGUUUUUUUUAGCAAUUAAUUUACGAAGUCUCUUAGGCAUACCAAACCAUUAAAAUAAUUUUUAAUAAGCUUUAAACACAUUAAAAAGUAUAAUAUAAAAGGAAUACAAAUAUACACACACACACAUUGCACUUAUAGAAGAAUUGAUGGAAUCAUGACGAGGGACAACAUUAUGAAAGCUUCAUGAGUAAAUAGACCUAAUCAACUAAAAAGAGUGGAGAGGUGAUAUUAAAAAAAAAGUUAAAAGUAGAGUAAUGAAAUAUGUGAGUGGGACAAUACACAAAAUAUUAAUGCAAGUCAAUAAAAUAUAUAAAAAAGAGGAAUUUAGUUUGAAGUUGCAUUAAAUAAUUAAUGGAUAUACUAAAAUAAUACUUAGUUGUUCUUUUGAGAUAAAUGACACAAGGAUAUUGAAAAUGAAAUGGAUUUGUUCCUCAGCAUUUUUUGUUUUGAAAUAACAAAAAAUAUUUUUAAAAUGAAUUUAUUAUAUGUUCUUUGUCUCUAUUCUUCUAGUUAAAUAUGUUUUUAUUAUUUUUAUAUUUAUUUCUAUUAUUCUGAAAUAUUAAUCAAACACAAUCUAAAAACAUUGUUACCCAAUCCAAUAAAAACAAAUGUUGUGGUUUUGCGUUUUGAAAACAUUAUUGAUGACUAAUACUUUCACUUUUAAUUUAGUCAAUUAUGUCAUUCAAAUUUUAGUUUUGGACAAAUGUUGCUCCUCUAUGUCAAAGGAUGGGGGAUCAUGACUACUGAUUAAAAAUAAUUUUUUUAGCAUGAUUAAAAUUCAAUUUUCUUCCAAAAAUGAUUUCAAAAUUUUUCAAGUAUAGAAAAAAUCUAUUUUGAUUUUUCCAUUAUUAAAUUUUAAAUUUUAAAAAAAUAUCCAAAUAAAAAUAUUUGAUUUCGUGUCACGAUGAGUAAUUCAAUCUUUAUUUUUAAAGAAAGGUAAUGAUCUAAAUUCUAUUGAAAUAAAAUAAUUUAGAAAUAUUUUUUUUUAUUAAUCUAAUUUUUUCAACAAAAAAAAAUAGUUUUUUUUUAGACAUAUAAUAAACAAAAACUGAAGACAACUGGUAUAAACAUAUAAAAUACUCAAGGAUAAAAAUGACAUCUCCUUAAUUAUUUAGGAGAGAGAGGCGACCUGUGCAUGCUGGAUUCACUUUUUAUAUAUUUAUUUAUGCAAAUAUGGGUCAGGUGUGGAGCCCUGUACUGUUUGUGACGCUGGAUCUAGUGGAAAAGCGCAAGUAUCCGUCGGUGCUGAGGCCAAAACGCGUGCGAUGAUUCAUUGGCUGGCUCUGGCUCGUCGAUGUAAGUGAAAUGUUGAGUCUUUUUCUACAGCAAAUUUCUUACACUUGUCCAGCCCCCAAACACACUGUCCACAGCUAAGCUGAGCGUACGAAACUUCCCAUGCCUUUCUUGGACUUCCAUUUCCUCAAGUAUAAAUACCAACCAGGCUAUCUCCUCGACAAUCCCACCUACGAGCUUGCAAAACUUUACUUGUAUAUCAUCCUUGGCAUCAAUCGUUUCAUAAUAGCCGAUGGCUUCUUUGAAUACUGUGCUUGUGCCCCUUGUGGCUCUUCUUGUGACGGUUGCAUCAGCAAGCAACUUCUACAACGAUUUUGAUAUUACCUGGGGAGAUGGUCGUGCUAAGAUCCUCAGCAACGGCGAGCUCCUCACUCUCAACCUUGACAAGGCCUCUGGCUCUGGAUUUCAAUCCAGGAAUGAGUAUCUGUUCGGAAAGAUUGACAUGCAACUCAAGCUUGUCCCUGGCAACUCUGCAGGCACUGUCACUGCUUAUUAUGUAAGUGAACUUGAUUGUUUGCCUCGAAUAAGGCACGAAACAAUCAUUAUAUGUGACUAACAGUUAACAUGUUUUUUGUCAUAUGAAUUUGCAGCUGUCAUCAAAAGGGUCUGCAUGGGAUGAGAUAGAUUUUGAAUUCCUGGGGAAUUUGAGCGGUGAUCCUUACAUCCUGCACACUAAUGUGUUUAGCCAAGGCAAGGGCAACAGAGAGCAGCAAUUCUAUCUUUGGUUUGACCCAACUGCUGAUUUCCACACGUAUUCCAUUCUUUGGAAUCCACAGCGCAUUGUGUAAGCAUCAAUCUUCAAUCCUGCUCCGUGUACAACAUUAAUACAUGCUGUGUUACUAAUUUUGUUAUCUUUUUCUCUGCUCCAGCUUCUCUGUGGAUGGCACUCCAAUUCGAGAGUUCAAGAACCUGGAGUCUAUGGGGGUUCCCUUUCCAAAAAACCAGCCGAUGAGGAUUUACUCGAGUCUAUGGAAUGCUGAUGACUGGGCUACAAGAGGUGGCUUGGUCAAGACAGAUUGGGCCCUGGCUCCUUUCACCGCUUCUUAUAGAAAUUUCAAUGCCGAAGCUUGUGUUUUGUCUAAUGGGGCAUCUUCUUGUGGCACAACCACUUCUCCUCCCGCCCCCACCUCGAAUGCUUGGUUCUCAGAGGAGCUUGAUUCAACAAGGCAGGAGAGGUUGAAAUGGGCCCGGGAGAAUUACAUGGUAUACAAUUACUGCAAAGAUAUCAAUAGAUUUCCCCAAGGUCUACCUCCGGAAUGCAGCAUGUCCUAGAAAGAUGACGUCCUUGCAUUACCUGUCCAAGUUUUGCCACAUAAGAUAUUCAAUUAGUUUUUGUAAUUUAGGCAAUUAAUCAAUUGGUGCAAUUCUUUAAUUCUUUUUCAUCAAUCAAUUGUUUGUAAUGUAAUAUGAAUCCGUAGUAUUUCGAUGAAAGUAAAAGAAAGAUUCCCAGCUUUCUCCUUGCCACUAAAAUCGUGAUGAGUUUCAUUUUUGCUGGGUUUCAUUCUCAACGAAGACAAAUCAAAAUGAGUAUGAUUUUAUGUCUUCACGCUUCCACUGUUAGUAGUAGAAGGUAGAGCAAGAGGCAAAAGGGUUGUUCGUUUAGAAACAUUG
rnacentral:lncRNA from 1 species